rnacentral:tRNA from 1 species
GGGGAUUAGCUCAGCUGGUUAGAGCGCCGCGUUUGCAACGCGGAGGUCAUCGGUUCGACUCCGAUAUUCUCC